rnacentral:rRNA from 1 species
GUCCACGCUGUAAACGAUGAACACUAGGUGUGGGAGGCCUUAAAAACCCUCCGUACCGAAGCCAACGCGAUAAGUGUUCCGCCUGGGAAGUACGGCCGCAAGGCUAAAACUCAAAGGAAUUGACGGGGACCCGCACAAGCAGCGGAGCGUGUGGUUUAAUUCGAUGCGACGCGAAAAACCUUACCUGGGUUUGACAUGUAUGUAGUAGUGAAGCGAAAGCGGAACGAUCCGCAAGGAAGCAUGCACAGGUGAUGCAUGGCUGUCGU